rnacentral:lncRNA from 1 species
CCUAAUCAUUUUACAUGAAUUGACCUAAUAUUUUUAGAAGCACCAACCCAUUGGUGUUUCUAAAUUUUUAACCCUUGGAUUUACUCCUUCAUUACUAAUAGCUCUUGAAUCAAAUACUAUUCCACCUACCACCAUCAUCUCAACUCUACAUUUCUCCAUCCACGACUAAAAAUUCAAAAGCACCACUCCCUUGGUACUUUUAAGAGUAGUAUUCUAGCUCAACUCCAUUUAACAUCUGCUUUUACAUUUAUCUCCUUUCAAGACCCAAUCAUUGCACAUCU